UCCGUUAUUGUCCAGUGGUUAGGAUUCCUGGCUCUCACCCAGGCGGCCCGGGUUCAAUUCCCGGUAACGGAA
rnacentral:tRNA from 1 species